UACCACGAUCAAAAAAGUAGUUCUCGUAACCUAUAAUUAGCGUACAUUUGACUUACACUAUAUAGGUCAUGCAUAGCUUUCAAAAGUUACUCCAAGCAAAAUAAAAUAUUUGAC